rnacentral:rRNA from 1 species
UACGUAGGGGGCAAGCGUUAUCCGGAUUUACUGGGUGUAAAGGGAGCGUAGACGGCCCUGCAAGUCUGAAGUGAAAGCCCAGGGCUCAACCUUGGGACUGCUUUGGAAACUGUGGAGCUAGAGUGCAGGAGAGGUAAGUGGAAUUCCUAGUGUAGCGGUGAAAUGCGUAGAUAUUAGGAGGAACACCAGUGGCGAAGGCGGCUUACUGGACUGUAACUGACGUUGAGGCUCGAAAGCGUGGGUAGCAAAC